rnacentral:sRNA from 1 species
GCUGGGCACAGUGGCCCAUGCCUGUAAUCCCAGCAACUCAGCAGGCUGAGGCAGAAGGAUCACAACUUCAAGGCCAGCCUCAGAAAUCUAGUGAGACUCUGUCUUGA